rnacentral:misc_RNA from 1 species
UAAAUGUAAAAUCCACAUUGGAUCUUGUUGUUAUGAAAAGUUUCUUAUAAAUGUCUAUAAACUAUAAACAGUUGUAUAACUGUGGCAAGCCUUCUGUGGAAAGACAUUAGACAGUUUUUCAAUUCUAGCUUUAUCAGUUUUAUCAAUUUAAUUUUAAUCACAUUGUUGGUAGUACCAUACUAAUCUUGUUUCUCAAUGCUGCUGUAUUUUUUGUUGAGAAUAUAUUGUCAACUUCUGCUGGGCUGUAGAUUUCAAAAGUGUUAAGUUGUUCAAGAAUCUUUAUAAUGAGAACUAAUUUUAAAAGACUGUUAUUAAUAGUUGUUCUUGCUAUGGUAUAUUUUUUGAUUAACAUAAAUACUGAAGGGUUUUACAUGAUGCGUUCUAAAGGCCGUUGCAACAACACUAUGGCUGAAAUGAAAGAAUUAAGAGAGCUUAUAUUAGAUACUCAUUAUCUACUAAAUUUGUUUAAAGUUACUCACUUUCUGGCUUAUGGAAGUGGUAAAAAGUUAUGUGUUAUCCAUGUGCCUGGAGCACAACUGGUUUAUGGGGUGCUUUAAGAUAUAAUGACAUCAUACCUUGGGAUUAUGACUUUGAUUUUGGCAUAGUUC